rnacentral:rRNA from 1 species
AGAGACAGCAGUCGCCGCGGUAAUACGUAGGUGGCGAGCGUUGUCCGGAAUUAUUGGGCGUAAAGGGAGCGCAGGCGGACAUAUAAGUCCAUCUUAAAAGUGCGGGGCUCAACCCCGUGAGGGGAUGGAAACUGUAUGCCUUGAGUGCAGGAGAGGAAAGCGGAAUUCCCAGUGUAGCGGUGAAAUGCGUAGAUAUUGGGAGGAACACCAGUGGCGAAGGCGGCUUUCUGGACUGUAACUGACGCUGAGGCUCGAAAGCCAGGGGAGCGAACGGGAUUAGAUACCCCCGUAGUCCCUGUCUCUUAUACA